GGAGAAAACACGAUGACACGAGCGUGCAAAAUAAGUACUCUCACCCUUUAGUCAUGGGAAUGCAAGCCAAGGCCUAAUUCACACAGUAUCCUGCAGUUGCACUACAGAGGCUUCGCCCCAUCAUUUUCUUGCACGCUAUUGACUGGAGUUGUGGAGCCACUUCUCUUGCUGGAUUGCCCAGUGAGUGACCUGCCCAUGAACUUUCCAGCUUUACUUAGGCCACUGCCAACAGCUCCAAUGCCGCUGCCCACAAUGCCAACUCCAGCUCCAAUGCCGCUGCCCACGAUGCCAACUCCAGCUCCAACCCCAGUUCCCACGAGCCCAACUCCAGUUCCCACGAGCCCAACUCCAGCACCAAUACCAGUACCCACCAUUCCAACACCUGAACCCACCAGUGACACAGCUCCAUCAAGUGCAUCCAUUGUGCUCCCUAUAACUCCUGCUUCUUUUAGCUUCUUUCUUGCUUCUAGGAUCCUCUUCUCUUCUUCCAAAGCAAUCAAUUGCUCCUCCUUGUUAAAAAUUCAUGGUACAAAACCUUAAUUGUAAGAGUUCCUCUAUCCUUCUUAUCCUUGAUCUUCAACAUGUCAAGAGAUGGUAGCAGUCUUAACUCCAUUUCUUUCGAAGUUUCUGCUUCCAGCUCAAUUAAAGGCACUUUUGUUAUUCCCAAUCUCUUGUCUUGCCCAAUAUCCUUAUCAAAAACCUCAAGAAUAAGUGACUGAGUCUCCUUGUCUUCAGCAAUCAACUCGAAUGUUUUAUCCCAAA
rnacentral:misc_RNA from 1 species